UAACCCUAACUCCAACCCUAACCCUAACCCUAACCCUAGCUCCAACCCUAACCCUAACCCCUAACCAUGCAUUCCUAUGGGAAAAAAAUCAAAUUUUUUUUUAGAAUGUCCUAGACUCGGUUCUAGACUCAGCUACCAAGCCCAACCCUAACUAGGCUCCAACACUAACUCCUAACUCCAACCCUAACCUACCCUAACCCUAACCCUAACCCC